rnacentral:lncRNA from 1 species
UUGAGAGAAGGGAGGGUCAGUACAGAUAUCCUCACCAUAGGCAGAGAGAGCAUGGCAGAGUUCCUCGAUCUGCUGGUUCAUCUCCUGGAGCCUUCGAUCCAGGAAAUCCUCUCGACUACGGGUCUCAAGGGUCUUCGGGCAGAAUGGAGGUAGAGAUCUUUCAGGAGUAGAAUCGUGAUCGGACUGAGGGCUCUCCACCCUCGGAUUCAUCUUUCCGGGAAAGACGGGGCGACUGGCCCAAGUGGCCCACCCUACCACCAGAUUUUGGAAUUCC